GACGAACGCUGGCGGCGUGCUUAACACAUGCAAGUCGAACGGAAAGGCCCUGCUUUUGUGGGGUGCUCGAGUGGCGAACGGGUGAGUAACACGUGAGUAACCUGCCCUUGACUUUGGGAUAACUUCAGGAAACUGGGGCUAAUACCGGAUAGGAGCUCCUGCUGCAUGGUGGGGGUUGGAAAGUUUCGGCGGUUGGGGAUGGACUCGCGGCUUAUCAGCUUGUUGGUGGGGUAGUGGCUUACCAAGGCUUUGACGGGUAGCCGGCCUGAGAGGGUGACCGGCCACAUUGGGACUGAGAUACGGCCCAGACUCCUACGGGAGGCAGCAGUGGGGAAUAUUGCACAAUGGGCGGAAGCCUGAUGCAGCAACGCCGCGUGCGGGAUGACGGCCUUCGGGUUGUAAACCGCUUUCGCCUGUGACGAAGCGUGCGUGACGGUAAUGGGUAAAGAAGCACCGGCUAACUACGUGCCAGCAGCCGCGGUGAUACGUAGGGUGCGAGCGUUGUCCGGAUUUAUUGGGCGUAAAGGGCUCGUAGGUGGUUGAUCGCGUCGGAAGUGUAAUCUUGGGGCUUAACCCUGAGCGUGCUUUCGAUACGGGUUGACUUGAGGAAGGUAGGGGAGAAUGGAAUUCCUGGUGGAGCGGUGGAAUGCGCAGAUAUCAGGAGGAACACCAGUGGCGAAGGCGGUUCUCUGGGCCUUUCCUGACGCUGAGGAGUGAAAGCGUGGGGAGCGAACAGGCUUAGAUACCCUGGUAGUCCACGCUGUAAACGGUGGGUACUGGGUGUGGGGUCCAUUCCACGGGUUCCGUGCCGUAGCUAACGCUUUAAGUACCCCGCCUGGGGAGUACGGCCGCAAGGCUAAAACUCAAAGGAAUUGACGGGGCCCCGCACAAGCGGCGGAGCAUGCGGAUUAAUUCGAUGCAACGCGUAGAACCUUACCUGGGUUUGACAUGGAUCGGGAGUGCUCAGAGAUGGGUGUGCCUCUUUUGGGGUCGGUUCACAGGUGGUGCAUGGCUGUCGUCAGCUCGUGUCGUGAGAUGUUGGGUUAAGUCCCGCAACGAGCGCAACCCUUGUUCACUGUUGCCAGCACGUUAUGGUGGGGACUCAGUGGAGACCGCCGGGGUCAACUCGGAGGAAGGUGGGGAUGACGUCAAGUCAUCAUGCCCCUUAUGUCCAGGGCUUCACGCAUGCUACAAUGGCUGGUACAGAGAGUGGCGAGCCUGUGAGGGUGAGCGAAUCUCGGAAAGCCGGUCUCAGUUCGGAUUGGGGUCUGCAACUCGACCUCAUGAAGUCGGAGUCGCUAGUAAUCGCAGAUCAGCAACGCUGCGGUGAAUACGUUCCCGGG
rnacentral:rRNA from 1 species